GAUGAACGCUGGCGGCGUGCCUAAUACAUGCAAGUAGAACGCUGAAGCUUGGUGCUUGCACCGAGCGGAUGAGUUGCGAACGGGUGAGUAACGCGUAGGUAACCUGCCUCUUAGCGGGGGAUAACUAUUGGAAACGAUAGCUAAUACCGCAUAAAAGUCGAUAUCGCAUGAUAUUGAUUUGAAAGGUGCAAUUGCAUCACUAAGAGAUGGACCUGCGUUGUAUUAGCUAGUUGGUGAGGUAACGGCUCACCAAGGCGACGAUACAUAGCCGACCUGAGAGGGUGAUCGGCCACACUGGGACUGAGACACGGCCCAGACUCCUACGGGAGGCAGCAGUAGGGAAUCUUCGGCAAUGGGGGCAACCCUGACCGAGCAACGCCGCGUGAGUGAAGAAGGUUUUCGGAUCGUAAAGCUCUGUUGUAAGAGAAGAACGAGUGUGAGAGUGGAAAGUUC
rnacentral:rRNA from 1 species